GUAAGCAAUCCUUAUUGCUAACACAGUAAAUAGUGAAAGGAGAAUUCUGAUUAAACAUAGUUGUAUUUUGAUGAUAGCAAACUUUAAAGGUUCCAGAAUAACAACUAUCUGUGCAGACAUGGAAAUCUAUGUAUGCACUUUGUAAUUGUGCUACCAAAAAUUUUGUUUUGUUUAGUUUUCAAAUGCUGCUACUGACACGUAUGCUUGGUGUUAGGUUACUAUGAAGUUAGUGGAUGUAUAGUUACUAGAGCCUGGAGAGAUAUUUAGCUCACCACAAUGUGUGUAUCACACUUGGUCAGCUGAGUUCUCUGAAUAUUAUGGACUGUUUUGAUAAGAAGCCUGAUUCAACUGCCCUCUCAUGGGGUCUAGCAGUAUCUGAGAUGCUGUGGAAUGACUCACUGUGGAUGUGGUUCUUCACAGAUGUUCAUCUUUGAGAUGUCAGAUGCAUCUUGAAUAUCCCAGGACAUUUCAAAUGACAUUAGAUACCAAACCAUGGUCAACCAAACUAAACUCCAUAGUUCAGAUGGUAUUCAGCAUGUCUGUAGACACCUGUAUGUAAAUAGGUCAUUGUAGGUGUUGAGCUCUCACUGAGUUCUCUGUUAAGUAUGCAGACAGCUAACGUCAAGGGAGAGAACUCCCAUUGCAAAGGCAAAUAGAAUGGAAAUAUUUGUAGUGUUCUUCAACUGAGAUGCUACAGGUCAGCAUCUGGCCAGAUAGCUGCACAAAGAGAUGUGAUGUCAGGAACACAGAAGAACCAUUGCUACCCUGCCCAUGAGUAUUUUGAAAGCAAUCACUGAAAAAUAAUGGAACAUAAUCAUUUUCUACCUAUGCCAGAUGUUGCAGACUUUAUUGUAUUUGAGUAGCUACCCAAAAAUCCAGGAGGAGCAAAAGCACAAGGACAAAGUGAGAAACGUGCACAUGACCAAUAGCACCUCAUUAAAUGGUGGCUGUGCUGUGAAUCUCAACUCAAGAAAGGUAUCUCAAGAAUUAUAGUCUGAAGGGACAUUUUUUAAUGGUAGUAAAAGUGCCCCAUCUGAAUUUCCCCAAGCUAUUUGUCUUAAAUCUUUCAUCUCCCAUGCUCAGUGAGAGCAAUUAGACCAUUUUCCAUCUGCUGUCACAUCUUCAAGGAGUAAGUGCCCUGUCCAGUAUGCUAGCUAACAGAGCAUCUAUUAAACAUCUCCUUUGCUUUUGAAAUUUUCCUUAUAAAUGUCCAUUCAUAUUAAUCAUGCAACUUGCCAAGAAUGCCUUUUUCCUGCAUUCUCUGUCCUACACUCACUACUUUUCCCUUUUCUUUUCUCACAGUGACAACAAAGAUUCUCAUUUAGUGUUUGUUUCGCCUGUGAGUAGUAUGAAAGGAAAUAGCAAAGUAGCACCUACAGUAUAGGAUUUAUCUCUGUGAUAUAGGAAAAAAUCUUAAAUUACAAAACACACCCACUAUUGUAUGCUGCUUCAUACGUUGCUUUAAGAACCAAAAUAAUAAUUCCUCAUAUACAUUUUUGUACCUUUUCAUGGAUCCUUAAAAUUCUUGCUGAGGAUUUCAGGAGUAAACCAGGUGCAAAUUUUGUUACUUCUUUGUGUUAUGGUCUGAAGUUUAGCAAUGUUAAUAUGGGAAUGACAGUAUUUACAAAGUAUCAUAAUUGAGAUAUGUAUCUUAAGAUGUGGAAAAGUUUAACUUGUGGAAAUAUAAUUUCAUUUGCCUCUUAUUCUAAGGUCUUGGAAGAAGGCCUAAGAAGUGUGUACUCAAUAUUCUAUAUACUGAGAGAAUAUAAGCAAGUAUGCAAAACUAACUCUCCUUCACGAGAAAUUGAAGAGUGGACCGUGGGUAGUAGGAAAGCAGUGCUCUUUCUGGAUUUCCUGGAAUACAGACAGACCAUCAACUCUGAUUGCUACAUUACAACACUGGCUAAGGUGAAGGCUGAACUUGCAGAUUCAGGCCAGAGAAGAGGACAGCCUUUCUCUUGCAACACAGUAAUGCUGGGUCCCAUACCAGUCUGAAGACCAUAGAGCACACUGUCAGUCUUGUCUGGACUGUCCUGCUACAACCACAGUUUAGACCAGAUUUGGUUUUUUUGAACUUCCAUCUUUUCAGGCUGAUUCAUGGGCAACAUUUUCCUAGUAGUGACGCUGUCAUAGCAGCUGUGAAACUGUGGCUCAUCUGCACUGCUGCAGAUUUUUACAGGCACAGUAUGCAGGCUCUUGUUCAUGGCUGGUGAAAAUGGAUGACAAAUGGUGGAGACUAUGUUGAAAAAUAGUGUUUAGUGGGUGAGGAUUUGCUCUAUCAAAUAGUGUUAUUGUGUUCUUUGUUGUAGUUUCCAUGGAAAUAGGAGGCGUUAGAUUCAGAGCAACUUGCGUACAUGCAAAAAGAUGAAACAUUUGGAGAAGCCACCUGCUGUUGUGCAGGUACAUCAGUAGUGAGGCAAAAAUUGGUGCACAGGUAGGACAAAGAAAUAGCAGACCAGGCUAGAGAGGUUUUAAAUGUUUCUUAGGUAUGUUACAUAUAAGGUAACCUUGAAACUUUUCAGUCUGAAAAAUAGCUGCUGAAAAAGAGAGCAGAACAUGGCCAGUCACAUGUGUGACACAAUCAAUCAUUUGAGAGUAGUAAAAUGAAGGUCUGCAUUUAAUAUAUAUAUAUAUAUAUAUAUAUAUAUAUUUAAAUCUCUUAAGUACUUGAAGAGAUCCUCUGAUAAAUACAGCUGCCUUGGUUUUGUUCUCUGGUUUACAGCUCUCCUGAUGCUAGUGUAAUGAGACAAGUGAGUCAUUUCUACUGCACCUAUUAUCCAUAUAGCAUGUGUUUAUGGCCACACAGUGAAGAGCUUAUACAAUCUCAGAAACUGAGCUUAUGUUAGUGCAGUGGGUUUACAGCUGAAAUGAGGGAGGAUGAGUUCACUGCCAACAGCUCUGCUUUUGGGCAUGUUUCUUCCAAUGAAAGGGCAGGUUGAUUUCACAGCCUUGUGAAGCCAAUGUUAGCAGUUCAAAUGUAUCUUAGCAGUGGAGAAAUGAUGCAGAAAAGAAUGAUGUGUUCCCCAAGAUUUCCAGUGAAUCAUUCAUCUUAGAUACACCUAUUUAAAAAAAUAAAUAUAUGUAAAGCUAAACAGUCAAUCUGCAAAUUUUUUAGGAAUAAUCAGGCUCAAAUACUUCUGUGGCAGGUACUGUGAACAGACACAGAUACUUCUGUGGACAUUCUGUGGCAGGUACUUGAAGCCAUGGGAAGAAUGAUUUGCUUCUGCACUGAUGUACUGCGAUGGGAAUCAUUCUGUGAAUCUCAUCUUUCCCUUGCUCCUCUCUCUUUAAGAUUUCUUAUUUUAUAUUUUCUUGCAAUCUUUCUUCAAUAUCUCUUCACCUCUCACAAACAGCUUUUUUCUUCGCUUUCAUCUGAAAUCCUAUUCUUUUUUCACUAUCCUGUUUUCAGCCUUUCUGAUGUUCUUCUAUUUCUUCUGAACCUCUUCCAUCUUUCCUGCAGAAGCUCCCUACUGCAAGUCCUUCACAACCUUCAUUCCCCUUCCUGCACUGUCUCAGUUCUGGCUGAAAUUGGUGUUGUUGCUAAAGCACCCGUAGGUUUUUUUGGCAACAGAAGUUACCGUAGUGUACCUGUCUCUGUUUCUAAGAUCAAAUAAUUGCAUUUCAACUUUCUGAUUGCUUGAGAUUGUAGAAUGUCUGGUGGUCUACUAAACAAUGCUCAAACUACAGGGAAAAUAAAUAGUAUUAAUGUGAGUUAAAAAAUCAUUGUUCUCAGUCGGCAAUUAGUAUUUCACUAAUAUCCGAAUAAACACAAUUUUCUGAAUUACAUAAACCCAGUUAGAAAUCAUGUUUUCUUGUAUGUAGAGGUCUGAUGGAGGGUAUAUAAAUAUACUGAAUUUGAGGAUCAGUAUGUCAAGCAAGUCUCAGUUUAUAUAGAUCUGUAAAAUGUAAGUUAAAAAUAAUUCAAUAUUUUUUCUAAGUGCUUCUCACACUGUUAUACAACUUGGUGCUACAUAAAAUAGCCAAAAAAGGGAUUAACGCAUUGGAUUCAUUUUCAUAGACAUCGUUCUAACAUUUCCUGAAUUUUAAGAUCGUGUUUCAAAAGGUGGGUUAACUAUUAGUGCAUUAAGCCCCUCAGUUGUUGCUCCUAAGAAUAUGUGAAAGGCAGCUGAAAUAGAGCAUGUUGUUUUUAUCUGGUUCCUACAGUCUGCAGUCCUUCAUCCUCAAACGUUACAGAGGCACCAUAUGCUGUUAAUCACCACUGUUGUAUUUAGUACUCAAUCAACUGAAAUUUGUUGUUUUCAGAUAUUAUAUGCCAGUACGAAACCCAUUAUGUGUGCUGCAUUUCACUGUGAGAGGAACAGUUAAUCCUGGUUUGCUGUCUAUCAUUGUUUCUGAUACAUUUAUAAAGAGAAGUCUUCCUAUGGGAUCUAUAAAUCACGCAUUACCUUUUAGCUAUGCCAUGGUUUAAUGUUAACG
ensembl:lncRNA